GGAGGAGUGAAAAGUGGCGGUGACAGCAACAGGUCUGUGGUGAAUGCUCCCUCUACAACCACGAGCUGUGGAGAAAGUGGCUGGAGGUGAUUGGGUGUUACCUUGUGUGAAUCCUGUGUCAGAGACGAGUCAUCAAGAACGGUCAACAAGUUCAUCAAGUAAAGAAGAACGGUGAAGGGUGGAGCUGCUGUGAGUAGACAAAGAUGUUCAUCUCUCUGAUGCACCCCCUCCUGCGUCUCUUUAGAUAGCAGGUUGA